UUCAAUAACGCGGCUCUCAGCACCUUGGUGAAAACUGGUGAGGUGCCGAGCCAUUGGAGCUGGCCUCAUGUUAUGCAUCAUCGCCACGGCUCCAUGGGGCCCACGAUACCCUGGCCGACGUGCUGCCGUUGGUGUCAAAUAUCUGCGGAAGCGCUGAUCAGUGGGCUUCCCCGGGAGAGGCCAUGAGACAAAGCUCGCCUGUCAGCGCACAAAGACAAGAGAGACAAUCAGCUCUUACUUUCUCGAUGCAAAAAUCUGUGUUCACUACAGUAAAUAAAUACAUGCUGCAUACUGCAUAA